AGUGAACGCUGGCGGUAGGCCUAACACAUGCAAGUCGAACGGCAGCACAGUAAGAGCUUGCUCUUACGGGUGGCGAGUGGCGGACGGGUGAGGAAUACAUCGGAAUCUACUUUUUCGUGGGGGAUAACGUAGGGAAACUUACGCUAAUACCGCAUACGACCUACGGGUGAAAGCAGGGGAUCUUCGGACCUUGCGCGAUUGAAUGAGCCGAUGUCGGAUUAGCUAGUUGGCGGGGUAAAGGCCCACCAAGGCGACGAUCCGUAGCUGGUCUGAGAGGAUGAUCGGACACACUGGAACGGAGACACGGUCCAGACUCCUACGGGAGGCAGCAGUGGGGAAUAUUGGACAAUGGGCGCAAGCCUGAUCCAGCCAUACCGCGUGGGUGAAGAAGGCCUUCGGGUUGUAAAGCCCUUUUGUUGGGAAAGAAAAGCAGCAGGUUAAUACCCCGCUGUUCUGACGGUACCCAAAGAAUAAGCACCGGCUAACUUCGUG
rnacentral:rRNA from 1 species